UAACCUAUGGACGGAAAUACCCUCGGGAAACUGAGUAUCCUGCCCAAAAAAACAUUAUGCCGGGAAUGGUUUAUGUUCAAAAUGAUUUACCGCCGAAGGAGGGGACGGCGGCCUAUCAUUUUGUGGGGGAGGUAAGGCCCCACCAAAAUAAUUACAGGUACGGGUUCUAAAAGAAGUACCCCGAAGAUGGUUACUGAAACACGAACCCCGGCCCUAGGGGGCGCAGCAGGAAAAAAAAUUUUGCAAGGUGCAAAACCACAACAAGGUUAAUCCGAGUGUUUCCUGCUAAAGGAACUUUUUGUCGGUCCAAAAACCACCAAUAAAUAAGGGGUGGGCAAUUUCUGGUGUCACCCGCCGCGAAAAAACCACCACCUCAGGUGGUCAGGAUGAUUAUGGGGCCUAAACCAUCCGUAGCCGGUUUUGUUAUUUUUCGGUUAAAUCUGUACCCUCAA
rnacentral:rRNA from 1 species